GGGUGGUGGGUGACUGGUUUUUUUCUAAAUUAUUAUUUUUUUUUUGAUAAGAAAUUUAGUGGUCCAGCAAGAAACAAGCCGCAAAACCGCAGCGCACAAUCCGCAUAAAGAAGUGUGCCGAGAUGGGCCUUAAAAAAUACAACCAGAAGUUUCUACGGGCAUGGAUGUCGAAUAACACGCAUUUGAUUUGACGACUGUCCAUUUUACGAAUGACGGUUAGAGCUGUCGGUAUUAAAAAUAUUGUAGUUAUGGAUGAUAG
rnacentral:lncRNA from 1 species